rnacentral:lncRNA from 1 species
CAGAAUAUCCUUUCAUUUCAGAAACUUUUGAAAAAUGCAUCAAAAAUUAUAUGAUAAACAACUAUACGAAUACUAAUGGUUAACGUAUCUGUCAAACUUUAAAAUGUACCAGGUACUAUUCAUCAGUACUUUGUAGAUCUUAAUUCUUUUAAUUCCCAUAACAACCCCAUGAUAAAAUUUGAGACACAGGGAGGUUAAACAAGAUGCCUGGGGUCAUGCAGCUGAUACAUGGGAAAACCAGGCCUUGAACCCACGCAGUGAGGAUCCAGAGUCUACACUCCUAACCAACACUUGAACCCACGCAGUGUGGAUCCAGAGUCUACACUCCUAACCAACACUUGAAUAAACUCUAAAGUGCAGAAAUGAUGCAAAUGAACAUUCCCCAAUAAUAACACAAUAAAACUAGAAAUUAAGAACAGAACUAAGUAAUUUUUAAAGUCUUAUCCAUAUGAGAAUUUAUAACCCUCUUAAACAACUCUUGAUUCAGAGAAGAAAACAAAACCAAAAUUGCUAUCUAAAAUAAAAUAAUAAUGAAAAUACUAUAUAUUAAAAUCAAUGAGAUAUAGCUAAAACAGUGUGCACAGGAAAUUUCAAGUCUUAAAUAUUAACAUUAAUCAAAAAAUGUUUAAAAAUUAAUUAAACACCCAACUCAAAAGAAUGAACUAAAUUUAAUGAAAACAUAAAGAAUAAAUUAGUAAAAGCAAAAAAUUAAUUGAAUAGACAACAGAAAAUUAUAGAAUCUAAAUUUAAAACAUCCAGAGCUAAUUAUUUAUGGAAAACAUAAACUAUUAUCUAACUUUAAAAAAGAGAGAGGUAAAGAGGGUAGGCAUGAGAGAAACCAGAAUAAGAAAUGAGGAUGGGAACAUUACAAAGGUAAAAAGGAAAUUCAAAUAAUGAAAAGAUCAUUUUGCUUAAACCUGAGUAAAUCGAUUUUUAAACAUGUGUGAAAUGAAUUAUUUUCUAGAAAAAAUAUCCAAGACCGCUGGGUGCGGUGGCUCACACCUGUAAUCCGAGCACUUUGAGAAGCCAAGGAGGGCGGAUCACCUGAGGUCGGGAGUUCAAGACUAGCUUGACCAACAUGCUGAAACCCCGUCUCCACUAAAAAUACAAAAUUAGCAGAGUGUGGUGGUGCAUGCCUAUAAUCCCAGCUACUAGGGAGGCUGAGGCAGGAGAAUCGCUUGAACCCCACAGGCAGAGGUCACAGUGAGCUGAGAUCACGCCAUUGCACUCCAGCCUGGGCAACAAGAGUGAUACUCCAUCUCAAAAAAAAAAAAAAAGAAAAGAAAAAA